rnacentral:misc_RNA from 1 species
AGCAGCCGCGGUAAUUCCAGCUCCAAUAGCGUAUAUUAAAGUUGUUGCAGUUAAAAAGCUCGUAGUUGAAUUUCGGGAUCAAUUAAUCGGUCGUGCCUCUGGUACGCACUGGUUUUAUUGGUUUCUCCCUUCUGACGAACCAGGAUGUCAUUAAUUUGGUGUCUUGGAGAAUCAGGACUGUUACUUUGAAAAAUUAGAGUGUUUAAAGCAGGCUAACGCUUGAAUACAUUAGCAUGGAAUAAUGAAAUAGGACGUU